ACUUAAAAUGAUUUUUCCAAAAUUUACUCUGUUUAAAACGAAUUAAAAAAAGGAAAAAAAAACAAAUUGGAAUGGUGACAGGAUCGUUCUCCUCUCUCUAUCUCGCGCUCCUCCCUCACCGUUAACCUUCACUCACCUCUCUCAAACUCUCCACGAAUCUCUCUCAAUCUCCAACCUCACUCAAUCGCUCACUUUCGUUCUCACCAACAGGAAACUCUCAACCGCGCUCUCUCUAUCGCUCUCAAACUUACCCUCAAUCCCUCAUCUCUCAUCGAAACUCCCUAUCUCGAAAGCUCCCAAACCUCACGUCUUCCUCAGAAUCGCUCACGAUGCUAACGAAACUAUGGUUCAAAAGAGGGUCGAGUGAAAAUCUCACCUUCAGCGGUGAAGAUAGCUCCGAUGAUGCUUUAAUCCUCCUUCCUCGCUUCUCUAACCCAGGGUUUUUGUGUUCUAUUUAUCUCACAGGUUAGGGUUUCAGAUUGAUGCUCAAUGGUCCAAUGGAGAAAGUUUUCAGAGAUACUUUUGUCUGCUCAGAAACGAGUUGUCUUGUUUGAUGCUAAUUUCCGGAAAGUAAAACAUUGAAGAUUCCAAAAGCAUUUCCGGUUUUGAUCACAGCUCAGGUUGUAGUUUCGGUUGACAUGGCUGAGUACGAGUUAUGUAUUGGACCUUCUAGGCUCUUUGUUUUUUUUUAGUUUUCUAUGCAGGCAACUUGGUGAAUGGGAGUUAUCUCACUCAGUAUCCUGUCUAUUUCAUCAUCCAAAGGAUAGUGGUCAACCGGCUCCAACGAGCAUCCCCCUUACGUCGAGCCUCAACAUGAGCUACAAGUUUCUAUGCCUCCAACUCCUUGAUUAUGAGCUCCUGAAGAAUGCUUCAUUAUCAACAUGCUUUUCCAAUCAUAUGAAGGUUCCAAAGCAUGCUAAUGUUCUUCCUUUGUCCACGAAUAAUCCGAAUGCUCGAGGUUCCAUCUUUGAGUUUGGAAAAAGACAAUGAAUAUGAAAUUUCUUCUCUAGAAUGCUUCUGCACUAGCAACUGUACUCCUGAUUCAGCACUGACUCGAAUGCACCAUCCUCAAAGCCUCUUUGUGUUCGUCACAGUUUGAACGUGGGAAGUGAGAAAAUACUAAAGAUAAGCAUGAAGCAUCGAAAAUUUGCGGUAUUGUGCAAGUUAAUCAUCUUGGUCAUUCAAAUUGAAUCUUCAUUGUUCUUUUUUUUUUUGCAGGUUAAUGGCUUGGAACUGGAAAUUUGCAUCUGCUGUAGAAGAUUUUGCACAAACACAGUCAUAUCCGCGGUGCUUUGUUUUGGAUUUUCUGAAUCAUGUCCAUCCAUGAUUUGAACAACGCUUCAACUGGAAUUCUUUCAACAAAUUUCAAAAUUGGAACUUAGUACCAAUGAUGCUCUGUUAUCACAAUAUCUUUAGGAUUUUGAUCAUGAAUCAAACUGCUAUACCGCGGCCCAGGACCCUCCUUACCGUAUCCACAUGAAGGCAAUGCCGGCAUCAAUGGCCAAUAUUUUUCAUCCUGAAUUCCAAGAAUGACAGCAAGAUAAGUGGUAAGAAUGUGGACAGACACCUUCAUCAUCUGGAUAGCACGCGAUCCCAACAACAACAACCAACUCCAUCCAAGGGCAGUCCCAACACCGCCGGCAACAGCAUAGAGUGGCCAGUAAUCAUCUGUCAAACCAACCUGAUCCUCCAUGAAGCGGUGGUUUUGAUAGAUACAUCCGGAAUUUCUCCGGUUAUGAAGAGGUUAUGAAAUCACUUGUUGAACCAUCCGUCCGAAUACUCUGAGCGGCAGCAGGGAUGCUAAUUGGAUUCCUUUAGUUUCUCCAGUUUUGUUCCUUUCCAACAUAAUAUAUUAUCCUCCUCAGGGAACGCAGAUAUACCAGAAUCUCCACCCAUCAUCAAAGCCAUCAAUUCAGACUGCAACCUUCUGAGAACAGAUUGAGAAUCAACGGAUUUAGGCGGAGGAAGAGAUUGCUUUGAGGGAGCAAUGUUGUCUUGACCAGCUUCAGUGUGGACGUUAAUUGUUGUAUUCAUAUGGAGUAGUUUAUGUAAAAAAAAAAAGAAUAAAAUAUUGGAAACUGUCAUAGCUUUGUCUUCUGUACUCUGUUUCCAAUCAUCUUGAGCUCAAAUUUCUUGAUCACACCAGCAAUGUCUCUCAAGGUCGUAUCCAACCCAUAAGGUGUUUUGUCAUAUGUGGUUUCUGUUGAAUUUAGGAACACUUUACAUGACUCUCUUCUUUGAGCUAUGGUUCCAUGAUAAUGAAAAUAUUUUAUUCUUCCUUCCGUGUUGUGAGUUGUUUUUCCAUCUAAAUUCUGUGACAUGUGACAUAUAUUAGUUGAAUGCAUAUGGACAACAUUAGUUGAAUGUAGCUCUCAAGUUAUUUUGGCUAUGGCAGAAGUUGUUCAGCAAGGACUCAAUUCGCUUCACUUCUUUAGGAAUUGAUGCUGUUAAAACCUCGUAACCUGUUUCUGUAAUGAGAAUCUCAUCCUCAAUCCUUAUCCCAAUGCCUCGGUACCUCUCUGGGCAGUUAAAAGAAGAUGGGAUGUACACCCCCGGUUCAAUAGUUAUUGCAACGCCUGGCCUCAGAGGACGGUCAAAGUUGAUCAUUGAACAAUCGUGAAUGUCCAUUCCGAGAUAGUGACCUAUAGAAGUUGGGUUCAGCGUAUGGUAGGAACUGCUUCCAAAACCUUUCAAAAUUCCAAACUCCUUUAGUCCUUUCUGCAGCAUUUCAACCGAAAGGUUGUGUAUUUGUCGAAUACUUUUACCAGGCUUACAAAUUUCCACACAAUGCUUGUUUGUUUUUUUUGUGUGGAUUUCAAUCACAAAGUGUGAGAAAAUAAUGAGACAGGAUAGAAGAAGAGAAG